CGGCUGAGUAACACGUGGGCAACCUGCCCCCCGCACCGGGACAGCCUCGGGAAACCGUGGGUAAUACCGGGUACUCCGCCACCCCCGCAUGGGGGAGGCGGGAGAGCGUAUGCGGCGGGGGAUGGGCCCGCGGCCUGUUAGCUAGUUGGCGGGGCAACGGCCCACCAAGGCGAUUAUGGGUAGCUGGGUUGAGAGACCGACCAGCCAGAUUGGGACUGAGACACGGCCCAGACUCCUACGGGAGGCAGCAGUGGGGAAUCUUGCGCAAUGGGGGCAACCCUGACGCAGCGACGCCGCGUGCGGGACGAAGGCCUUCGGGUCGUAAACCGCUUUCAGCAGGGACGAGGCCGCGAGGUGACGGUACCUGCAGAAGAAGCCCCGGCUAACUACGUGCCAGCAGCCGCGGUAAUACGUAGGGGGCGAGCGUUAUCCGGAUUCAUUGGGCGUAAAGCGCUCGUAGGCUGCCCGCUAGGUCCGGGGUCAAAUCCGGGGGCUCAACCCCCGCACGCCCCGGAUACCGGCGGGCUUGAGUCGGGUAGGGGAAGGCGGAAUUCCAGGUGUAGCGGUGGAAUGCGCAGAUAUCUGGAAGAACACCGGUGGCGAAGGCGGCCUUCUGGGCCUCGACUGACGCUGAGGAGCGAAAGCUGGGGGAGCGAACAGGAUUAGAUACCCUGGUAGUCCCAGCCGUAAACGAUGGACGCUAGGUGUGGGGGGAGAUGCCCUCCGUGCCGCAGCCAACGCAUUAAGCGUCCCGCCUGGGGAGUACGGCCGCAAGGCUAAAACUCAAAGGAAUUGACGGGGGGC
rnacentral:rRNA from 1 species